rnacentral:misc_RNA from 1 species
GCGAUUCUUCCACGGCGCUCGAAGCGCGUCGUGGUAUUUCGCGUAUUGUAAUUUCAACACGAGCGGGGUCAAAUCCUUUGCAGACGACUUAGCUGUGCGAAACGGUCCUGUAAGCAGUAGAGUAGCCUUGUUGUUACGAUCUGCUGAGGGUAAGCCGUCCUUCGCCUCGAUUUCCCCAAUGGGUUCUCCGGAUUUCUGGAGACUUGUAGGGGUUGUGGGAUUUUUGAUGUGUCGUCUCCGGACGGGCGGUGCAGGGUAGUCGAGUUAGACUUGGUGGAAUUCCGUCGAUAGGAGUUCCGUCGAGUCUGGUCGGCUGUGUGUUGGACGGUGCAGGGUAGGCUGCUUGGACAUGGUCGGUUCGAGGAUCGAUUCGAGGGCCGGCCCGUCGAUGAUGUGUGAUGUAUGCGGUCUAGGGUAGGCUGGUUUGUCUUGGUCCAAUUUGAUGUCGGCUCCCGCGCAGGCCAGAGUGAAGGGGGGUCCAGGGUAGGUACAGGGUAGGCAGCUUAGAUUUGGUCGAUCUGGAGGUCGAUUCUCCGGCUGGCGGAUCUGACACUGUCGAAACGAGAUGCGAGCGGUGUAGGGUAGGCUAGUUUCGUCCUCGCCAGGUUGCGAUUUGGACGAGAUAUGUGGUCUAGGGUAGGCUCUAGGGUAAGUAGAAUUCGAGUUUCGUCGCCGACAGUUUUCUGUGGGUGUAUGGUAGGUACAGGGUAGGCAAAUCUCUCUCCGGCCAGUACUUGUCUGGUGGUCGUGAGUCGAUUUUUUUGUUUUGCCAUACUAUUGAAUUUUGCGGAAAUUCAAAAGUGGCUCGGGAGUCCCGCCUGGCGUGCGUCCGACUCGAACAUCGUCGGUGUACAUAUGAGAGGGAGUAAUCCGGCCCGGCCGGGGCCCAUCGCGAGCUGCCGGGUAGGUAAAAGUAAAAAAGUUGUUAAGAGGCGCGGUGUCGGCGUGCUUGUAUUUGCGGGAGAGAAUUAUCUGGAGGUGCUGGGUAGCCGGGAAGACUUGGACGGAUCUGGCCCGGGAAUGGGUCUGGGCCUGGAUUCUGGUGUGGUGUAGGAUAAGCAUAGAUAGAUGAGUGGUCUAGGGUAGCCAGAAGUCUGGUAUAUAGUAUGGGGGGUGUAGGGUAGGUCUGGACACCGUUUUCCACUUCGCCCUUCCCUUUACUCGAGGGAGGACGAUCUUGGCUGGGAUGGAGGUGUAGGGUAGGCUUAACUUACGAUUACAUGAUCUGUGUCACUCUAGGGUAGGUGAAAAUCCCAUAUAUAUCUGAUCACAUUUGGUGAAGAGGUGGUUUGGCUGGUGAGAUGGACAAAAGUGCAAUGUAGAAUUAUAUGUGAUUUUGCAAAAGUGGGUGUGAAAUUGGGAAAUCGGUUUUCCCGCACAGAUGAGAGCACGUUUGAGGUGCCAUGAGAUGCACCUCUCUGAGACGACCUCAACGGUACCACCGAUGUGUUGGUCGGGCUCCUGUGCGGCCGUCCAGGGCGGGAUAUGUAGAGAAUGUGGUGGUGUAGGGUAGGUGGCCAGGUCCAGGGUAGGUUCUCCAAAUCCGUCAAUCCGGCUUGAAUCGAAGGACAGGUCUAGGGUAGGCCAGAGUCGGGUCUAGGGUAGGCAGCUCUCACCCUCGAAGUGGUCUACCCGGUAGUCAACUUCAAUCGCCUCUCACGGCCGCCACGGACCUCGCAUGACGACGGGACCACCACCAUCGGAUUUGCCUUGGUCGAAAUAGUCGGUAUAUGCACUUUUGAAAAAAUGCGUGCAAAAUGGCUUUGUGGUUUGGUGGUCGUGAGUCGAUUUUUUUGUUUUCCCAUACAAAUGAAUUUUGCGGAAAAUAAAAAGUGGCCCACGAAGCAGUUCUGGCGUGCGGCCCACUAAAACGGUCUCGGAGGGUAUAUGAGAAGGGAGCAAAUCCGGCCGAGCCUGAAAGGGCGAGGACAAACCGGGCGAGCAACCUCUCAGUAUCAGAUCUUGCAGACUUCCACUGCGUGUCCCUCUGUACAGCUUUGCAGGCUCCGGCCUCGGCAGCGGGGGGUUCAUAGUGGUCGUCGACCUCCACGAAACUGCACGCUCCGGCGUGACAGCGUACUGGGGAUGCCUGUGUAGAUGCAGUCCGGGCUUGCCUGGACCGCUAGCAGAUGGGCUCUGUGGAUGACUGGCCGCUGGCUAGACCUGAAACCUGAGCAACGGGAGGUAACCUCUCGCCGCGGACACCGGAAUGGUAGAAGCGGCGUGCUGCGUCCUCCUCUUGGGGCCCCUAAGCCACACCUCCCAUAGCGGGUUCGGUGCGGCGGACGGACGCCCUGGGGAAUUUAGAGGGGGAAAGCGGAUUGCCCUAGCGGUGUUGUUGGCCCUGCCGACCUCACUGCGAAAGGCGCGACUUCACCGUCGCCACCCAGUAACUUGUCU